UUCAAUUGGGGCUGCGGCUUGAUCCUGCCUGUUGUUGCAGCUAUCGGCUGCAUAACAAGAGGCUCAGAGCCCUGACCCCCCCCCACCUGCACCCCCAGGCCAGGGCAACGUGGGUGGGGGUCACCUGCAUUAGCGAGCAUUGACGUAAUUGAUUUUAACGGGAUUAUUUUUGCAUCGUCCUACAACCAGAGCAGAACGGCAGCGACUGAAAAUGACGCCCUGGGCCGAUUGCGAUCUCAGUGCUCAUUGCUCAUAAGCAGAAGAAGUGUCGCAGUGGGGUGCAAAACUCUUCUGAGCUGCAGAAUCCGAGCAUGAACGUGUUUGUACAUUUUGUAAGCAAAGAGACAGAACCAUUUUUCAUUUUUCUGGAGGGCGGCUGGCCUGGAGCCGGCGCAGCAGCAGGCCGCCAGGGAUCCGCUUCUCAAUCCCCCCGUGGCAUUCGGGACAAUUUUUAGCCGGCGUCCAUAAGCGAACAAGCGAGCAAGUCAGAUGAUGACAUCAGCUUCCUGCGCCGCCGCCCCGCUUCGCUGGCUGAUCGCACUCCCAGCCAGCGCACCACCUUCUCGUUUGAAGGCGGACGCCGGCCGAGACCAAACAAUGGGCGUGACUCAGCCGCGGGAAAAGGAAGACCAUCACUCACAAGAGUGAAUCAGGAGUCAAGGACAUGGAGAGGGGGACACCUCACCCAUACAAAUAAAAAAAAUAAAUAAAAUAAAACUAACUACUACAAGCACAUCGACGCGAGAAAGAGUUGGCAUUAUAUAUGUAUCAUAUAACAUUUCAUUCAUGUGGUGCAAAGAUGUACUGUAAAAUUCAGGCAUUUGAAACAUAGAACAAAAGUGUCACUCAAGUGGAAUACAGUAAUCCCUCGUUUAUCGCGGAUAAUUGGUUCCAAAAACCACCUAUGAUAAGUGAAAUCCGCGAGUUAGCGGAAAGAUGCUAAUUCGCGAUCGUGCUAAGACGCGAAAACGGACUUCUAAAGGAAUGAGCAAUACUACAUUGUCCUAUAGGUUAGACACGUUUCCUCAAUUUAGAAGUUUUAUUUUGACUUUUAUUUUAAUUUGGAAAAAAAUCCGCGAUGUAGUGAAGCCGCGAUAAACAAAACGCGAAGUAGCGAGGGAUCACUGGUAAUGCAUAUUUCACAUCUAACAUGUAAAAUGGCAAUUUAAUUAAAGCACUUGAGAUGUAAGUAAUGUAUAAUUGUUAAAGUAAGUUAUGUGUAUUGAAUAUUUAAUAGAGGUGGAAUUAACAAUGUGGGAUUUAUAGUAUAUCGACUGAAUUUGUCAACAAGGUCUAAAUAAUGUAAGUAAUCAAUUUGUAUAAUAUCGAUUUGGAUUUUAUCACGGGUCAGUGUUAUUGAUAAGAAUUUGACAAACUUAUUUGACAAAGAAUCAAUGUCUUUUGUGGAUUUGAGGGGAAACACCCUACCCAUGAGAAAAUGAGACAAAUGGGUACUACGCUG